AGAGAAGAAACUGAUCCAAUCUUUUCGAAUACCUGAUAAAACGCGAGCGAUUACGUGCUUCGUGUGUGGACAGUCGGGGCACCUCGCGCCAACAUGCCCAGAAAGAAAAGAAAGGAGCAGUGCGCCGAUAACCAAAGAGGUCAACGUCUGCGAGCGUAAAUCAUCGAUGGGCACGUUAACUACAUCAUCUGAUCAACUGGAACAGCGAGGCAGGAUAAGAAGCACGAGGGCGUGCUAUUGUCAGUCCGGCCGUGACGGCGCAUAGACAUUUUUAGAGUGACGUUUUGGCACUCUGACACAACCCCGGGCGCUAGUGAGCUUGAGCGAGUGAGUCGGGACGGACAUUGGACAUUAGUUUGUCAACGGUCUCUCGAUUCACAUCGUAUCGAUACAUUACGCGUUCGGUGGAGUGUCUCUGUGUGAUUAUUAAUUGUUAUUGAAGAACUAGUAAGAACUUUGUAGUGCUAAUGAACAAUUGUAAAUCGAAUUAUAAUUAGUGAUUAUAUUGUGUAUGAUUUGCGAA